CGACCACCUUUGUCCUCCUCGUCCUCUAGGGCCCUCUGCGCCUCCUUCGCCGCCGCCCCCUUGUCGUCGUCGUCGUCGUCCUCGACCACCUCCGAUCACCGCUAGCCACCGCCAAACACCUCCUACCAUCUCCGUCCGACUCCUAGCACCCGCUGCCGCCGCUGGCCAACUCCUACCACCGCCGACCACCUCUUGCAAUCUCCUGCCAUUUCCGAACACCUCCUACCUCCCCCUGCCUCCUCCGACCGUCGCCGAUCGCCUUCUACCGCCCCCUACCACCUCCUGCCAUUUUCGAACACCUCCAACCACCUCCGACCACCGCCGACCUCCUUCGUCCUCUUCAUCCACCUCCUCCACACCCCGUCGUCGUCCACGUUGUCCUCGUCCUCCUCGACCUACUCCGAUCACCGCCAACCACCUCCAAACACCUCCUACAUUGACUGAAGCAUAUAAAGACAGUUGCCCUGAUGAGCUUUGGUGUGACAACCGAAAAUCGUCGUGCGCUUUCGCUCCCUGAGAUGUUCCAACUGUAGAGUUGAGAACUUAUUGCAGAACAUCAGAGGGUUACCGAUUUCGACAUGAUGCUGGCUGCAUUCACCUUCGGAGUCACACAGUCUUCGCAAUGAAAGUGACGUCACCAAAAUCCGUCAGUGACGUCGACCGCCAAAAUUCCUCAGUCUGGAAACAACCGCGCAGUAGAGCGGACGGAUGAGAGUCGCGCUCCGCAAAUUUCGAGUACCGGGUUCUCAACCUCCCGGAUCCUGCGCUUCGGAUCCGCUACGUGGUGAAACUCGAGUUCCAGGACAAGUGCUCCGUAGUUUCUGCGCUCCGGGUCCACUACCUAGUGAAACUGGACUUCCAGAACAGGCACUCCGUGGUUUCUGCUCUCAAGGACAAGCGCUCCAUGGUUUCUGAGCUCAAGGUCGCUGGUGAAACUUGACUUCCAGGACAAGCGCACCGUGGUUCCUGCGCUCAAGGUCCACUACCAGUGGGAACUUGACUUCCGGGACAAGCGCUCCGGGGUUCCUGUUUCAUGUUUACGGUAUAACCCAAGGUAGUUAUCGGUAGGUGUUGGAGGUGGUUGGCGGUGGUUGGAGGUGGUCAGAGGUGGACGAAGAAGACGAGGAGAACUAGGUGGACGAGGAGGACGAGGAUUAGUGCUCGGUAUACCCGUGGUGGUUAUCGGUGGUUGUUGGAGGUGAUUGGCGGUGAUUGCAGGUGUUCGGAGUUGGACGAGGAGGAGGACGAGGAAGACGAGGAGAACAAGGUGGACGAGGAGGACGAGGAUUAGUGCUCGGUAUACCCGUGGUGGUUAUCGGUGGUUGUUGGAGGUGAUUGGCGGUGAUUGCAGGUGUUCGGAGUUGGACGAGGAGGAGGACGAGGAAGACGAGGAGAACAAGGUGGACGAGGAGGACGAGGAUUAGUGCUCGGUAUAACCCGAGGUAGUUCGCGGUGGUUCCGGGUGAUCGAGGUGAGCGAGGAAGAGGACGAGGAUGACCAGGACUUGUACACUUUCUGUGCCCCACCUAGUGAUCCACCAGUAC
rnacentral:lncRNA from 1 species